UACGUAGGGGGCAAGCGUUGUCCGGAUUUAUUGGGCGUAAAGAGCGUGUAGGCGGCCAUACAGGUCCGUUGUGAAAACUGGAGGCUUAACCUCCAGACGUCGAUGGAAACCGUAUGGCUAGAGUCCGGAAGAGGAGAGUGGAAUUCCUGGUGUAGCGGUGAAAUGCGUAGAUAUCGUAAGGAAGACCAGUGGCGAAGGCGGGUCUCUGGACAGUUCCUGACGCUGAGGCACGAAGGCCAGGGGAGCAAACGGG
rnacentral:rRNA from 1 species